ACGAAGAUAAAAAGGAAAGCCUUACCUGGCGAUUCGAAGGCGCAGGCGACAGCAACAGUUCGAGCACUCCCGGAGAAUUCUCCCUUCCUCCUCCUCUCAGUCUCUUCUCCUCUGUUCUUGUGCUUCUGUUUGUUGGGUGUAAUGGUGGGAGCGGCGGUGGGCGUCCGUUUCAGUCGGGAAGAAGAUGAACAGUAGCUGGAAACGGCGCCGUUUUUGGUGUUUUGUGUUUUGAUCCUUGACAUUUUGAAUAUUUGCAUUACAGUCCUUGAAUAAAUUGUAAUUGAACCCCUGCAUCUCAGCACCAUUUACACAUUGGUCCUUGGGUUUUAAUUUCUUUCAAAUGUGACAAGAAUCAGCCCUAUACUUUGAUAAUAUUUUAAUUAA